UACGUAGGGACCAAGCGUUGUUCGGAUUUACUGGGCGUAAAGGGCGCGUAGGCGGCGUGGUAAGUCACUUGUGAAAUCUCUGAGCUUAACUCAGAACGGCCAAGUGAUACUGCUGUGCUAGAGUGCAGAAGGGGCAAUCGGAAUUCUUGGUGUAGCGGUGAAAUGCGUAGAUAUCUGGAGGAACACCGGUGGCGAAGGCGGCAUCCUGGGUCGGAAUUGACGCUGAGGAGCGAAAGCCAGGGGAGCAAACGGG
rnacentral:rRNA from 1 species